UGUUGGGAGAGUUUACUUACUGUUUUCUAAGGUCUGAUCUUUACGAAUCUAUUUCAUGAUUACUGACAGAUAAAAAAAAUCAAGUAUAUAUAGCAAGAAGUUGUUGGGUAAAAUAUUCAUUGGUCAGUUAUAAAUGAGAUCUGUAUGGGGUUUUAAUUGCCUCAUUUAUUAAAUAAGAAAUCGUUAUUUUGAAAAGUUGGCUAAAAAACAAUAAUUU
rnacentral:lncRNA from 1 species